rnacentral:lncRNA from 1 species
UGUUAACUGACCCGACACCUAUCUGGGCUGGAUGCGGGCAGCAUGUGGGCAGACUGGGCACGAACAAACUGGGCACACCCAUCCGGGGCCCACGUGGGGCCCAGAUGGGCAAACCCCAGCCAGCAUGCCCAUGUGGGCCCCACACGGGCAGUUGAUGGGCAUGGUGGGCUAGGUGGGCCAUGGGCUAGAGAUGGGCAAAUAUGUGGGCUGCAUGUGGGCCCCACAUGGGCUGCCCACAUAUUUUUUGGCAGGCAUAAUGCUUGAUAAUGAGAUUGCUUGCACAUGUACGAGGGCAUAUCCAGGAAUUUUGGUGAACACAGGCAUUCACGCGGUGUUCCUGUAUGGUGGGCUUAACAUGGGCACUGCGUGGGCAGCCCAUGUAGUGGGGUGUAGGUGGGCUGGAUGUGGGCAGCCCAUUAUUUAUUUUUUCACUGUCCAAUGUGUAUGAUAUUACAAGAAAAAAGAACUCGCUGUUUAGUCUCAUGCCUCCAAAAUACACUUCGACGUCGUGAGGAAGUCGCAUAGUUGAUGUUUGUGAGACCAGCUACGGCUGAUAUUGGACAGUCAAUGUUGUGAUUGUGUCGUAUGAUUGUGUCGCCUGAGCCCGCCCCUGCGCGGGCGACCCGCCGGCGGAGCUCGGCCCACCGGACGGGGCCUGGGGCCGCCUCUGCACCGCCCGGGGCGGUGACCGGCCGACCGGCUGGCGGGGCUGCGGCGUCUGGGCGGGCCAGUUGGCGUUGAGACUCUGAGUGGUGUGCGUGUCCAAUAAAGCCUUAAUUCGGGCGGAACCGACACAUGGCGCGGUCGGUAUUAGCUCGAACCCGCCCAUAGUGAGUACAAAGUGCAAUGAACGAAAGUGAAAGGAAGCAGGAAUGCGUAGCCGUGGCGGCCGCGCCGCAACCACGACCGCGUUCGAGUCUCUUCGGAGAGGCGCGCCCGCAGCGACGCCAGAUGUAUCGCUAGUUGGUCGAGUCGCCGCUGUGACAUCAGGACGUAGUCGUCCCAUCUCUCCUUCCAGAGGUAGAAGGCGUCACUGCGGUCGGUGGAGAUGUCCAGUCGGUCAGGCCGGAUCGGCUGCAGGCUCGUCAUACCACAGCGAUUACGAAGGACUGUUCUAGAAGCCCUCCACGCCAGCCACCUGGGGAAGGAGAAGACGAAAGCCCGCGCAAGACAGAUCGUCUACUGGCCCGGGAUCUACCGGGAUGUGGAAAAUGUCACCCGCUGCUGUACCAGCUGCCAGAGAGAUCUACCCGCUCAGCAGCAAGAGACCAUGAUGAGGAGACCGCCAGCGGAAAGGCCGUUCGAACUACACAUCGACUUUGCCGAUCACGCCGGCAGGAAGUACCUCGUGGCAGUGGACAGAUACUCCGGGUGGCUGUUUGUCGCCGACCUCGGUGUAAGCGCCCCCGCUUACACCGGUCGGAAGGACGAUAGCAGGCGUCAUGACGAGCGCACUCGCUACGCGACUAAGCGUAAAUGGACGGCACGGGAAAAGGGCUUUCGGCGGUACCCGGCUUUUUGAUGUCGUGUUCAGAGCCGUGCGGCGGAACGGGCUUACCCAGGACACCAACAACGGCCAGCUGGAGGUGGCGCCACGAAAGUGGUUUACGGGUGCCAGGAACCGCGACGGAGGCCGCCAGGAGAGGAGACCAGCUGGAGUUUAAGCGGAGGAGCAGAUGAGAGAAGAAGUCUAGAGAUGAGCAGAAGAGAGCAGAGAGUUUAAACAGCAUUUUUGUGUUUAUCGAUAAUAUAAAUAUUGAUCACUGA